GAUUCCAUUUUUCAGUGUUGCCAUGGUGACGGUGGUGGUGGGCAUGAUACAGAUGCGGGAGCUGGAGUUUGUGCCCGAUGGAGACAUGCAGCUGGACAAAUUCUGUUGCUCAUUGGUCAGACUGGAGUUUACAUGUGUACCUCCUUCACCAUCAUUGGUGGACACUUCACCAUGAGUGAUGCUUGAGCUGUCACGGUGCUGCUGCUGUUGUCUGCCAUCAUCCCCCUGACACAGACCACCCUGCAGACCACCUUCAUCCUGGGUGCCACACGUCACUGCUGCUACAACUCAGAGCAACUGGAGCGCAAGCCAGGAAGGGAGAUGGGUUGAACAAUUUUCAUGGGUUCAGAGCAAAAGGCUUCCUCAUUCCUCCCCAAGGUAUUCUCGGAUGGUAAGCAGGUUUGACUCUGGAGCAAACCUGACCAAGGGCUACUGCCCAAGGCUACAGAGGUUCCUCUCCCUGAGGCUGAAUGCACCAUGUGAGAUGGUUCUGUUAUGUGGAUGAAUGUCAUGGUGGAUAGCAGUGCCACCACAUUCCUACAAUCAUCCAUCACUCCACUGCUCAAACGCUUCUGCAACCAAUGAUAGGUAUGCUGCCACAUUCUGCAUGGUCUCCUUGGCUCUCAGAUAAGGAUACUGUCAACAGGUUUGGGAUUGCCAAAAAAUCAUAAGGAGCUAUGUCUGAAAAGUCCAGAGAGAGAGAGAGAGAGAAAGAAUGAGCAAGAGAAAGAGUAGGAUGAAGCAAAGGAAGAGUCAAGAGGGAGGAAGAGAGAGUAGGACAAGAAAAACAGAACAAAUAAAUCCCCUACACGUCUUGUCUCCAUUCACACAAGCCAUGAAAAGCUUGUCCAUCCCUGAGUGCUCAGAAGCAGUGUUCCACUGAUGAUGUGGAAACUUGAGACACCCAAUCAUUUAAUGGGCUUUAGUAGGUUUUGUCACCAGUCUUCUGUGUGUCACUGACUACAUUUUGAAAUUUUUAUCUGUUCUAUUUAAUUUUGUGUGUAUGUACACAAUGUUUAUGGUCAAUAAACUAUUUAUAAAACUAUUUAUCUGUGUGAGUAAGAUAAAAGCAGUUAUUGUUAUUAUUAUUAUUAUUAUUAUUAUUAUUAUUAUUAUUAUUAUUAUUAUUAUUACACAUUUUCCUCCUUGUAUUUAAAUAUUAUUAUUAUUAUUAUUAUUAUUAUUAUUAUUAUUAUUAUCAUGAAUUGUUCUUGUUUAUAAAUAAAAUACUGUAACUGA